rnacentral:rRNA from 1 species
UGGGGAAUUUUGGACAAUGGGGGAAACCCUGAUCCAGCCAUCCCGCGUGUGCGAUGAAGGCCUUCGGGUUGUAAAGCACUUUUGGCAGGAAAGAAACGUCAUGGGUUAAUACCCCGUGAAACUGACGGUACCUGCAGAAUAAGCACCGGCUAACUACGUGCCAGCAGCCGCGGUAAUACGUAGGGUGCAAGCGUUAAUCGGAAUUACUGGGCGUAAAGCGUGCGCAGGCGGUUCGGAAAGAAAGAUGUGAAAUCCCAGAGCUCAACUUUGGAACUGCAUUUUUAACUACCGGGCUAGAGUGUGUCAGAGGGAGGUGGAAUUCCGCGUGUAGCAGUGAAAUGCGUAGAUAUGCGGAGGGACACCGAUGGCGAAGGCAGCCUCCUGGGAUAACACUGACGCUCAUGCACGAAAGCGUGGGGAGCAAAUAGG